AUUGAACGCUGGCGGCAGGCUUAACACAUGCAAGUCGAGCGAGCGGCGGACGGGUGAGUAAUGUCUGGGAAACUGCCUGAUGGAGGGGGAUAACUACUGGAAACGGGAGCUAAUACCGCAUACCAUCAGAUGUGCGCAGAUGGGAUUAGCUAGUAGGUGGGGUAAUGGCUCACCUAGGCGGCGAUCCCUAGCGGGUCUGAGAGGAUGACCAGCCACACUGGAACUAAGGCACGGGCCAUACUCCUAAGAGAGGCAGCAGUGGUGGCUAUUGCACAAAGGGCGCAAGCCUGACGCAUCCAUGCCGCCUGUGUGAAGAAGGCCUUCAGGUUGUAAAGCACUUUCAGCUAGGAGGCGUUACUCGCAGAAGAAGCACCGGCUAACUCCGUGCCAGCAGCCGCGGUAAUAC
rnacentral:rRNA from 1 species